rnacentral:rRNA from 1 species
UGAGUGGCGGACGGGUGAGUAACGCGUGGGCAACCUGGCCUGUACAGGGGGAUAACACUUAGAAAUAGGUGCUAAUACCGCAUAACGGGGGAAGCCGCAUGGCUUUUCCCUGAAAACUCCGGUGGUACAGGAUGGGCCCGCGUCUGAUUAGCCAGUUGGCAGGGUAACGGCCUACCAAAGCGACGAUCAGUAGCCGGCCUGAGAGGGCGGACGGCCANACUGGGACUGAGACACGGCCCAGACUCCUACGGGAGGCAGCAG